CGUAGCCGAAGAUCUUGACGGGAUUCAGCGUCGGGUUAGUGAUGACCCGCACUGCGCCACCGCCCGGAGCCCAAGUGUCAUAAACACCACCAAAGAAGGUGGCUUUCAGCACUAGCAAGAAGGCACCACAACCUAGCAGGAUGAGGUGGUAACCAAUGAUGUUGGUCAUCUGGUUCUUAUCCUUCCA
rnacentral:antisense_RNA from 1 species